GCCGGGCUUUCUCCUCCUCUUCCUGCUGUUGCAUGUUCAGGGGCAUGUUUGGUACCUCUGGCGAUUUGCGAAAUGACCUUCUGACCCCAGAACUCCGAGUCAAACCCUGUGCCACACCCUUCCCAGGGCCCAGUGGUACUGCAUCAUCUGUUGCAAUCAGCUGCCGAGGCUUCACCACUGGUAUUCCUAUGAAAAAGCAAGUGUACCAGCUGUCAUCCAUCCUCGUUCUGAAGUCUCAGCUGUCUUUGGGGUUGCUACCCUAUUCUUCUGGGGCUCCACCAUAAAAGUUCUCACCAGUAGUCACCAGUUUGGACUUAUCCUCUUCAUCACCAACUUCAUCAUCUUCCACACUUCGGCCAGGAAAGAAAAAGCCCAUCAUUCUGUGGAAGAACUGGUGUGUCAGCUGGAUGGUGAGAGGCACCACAUUUACCUAAAAAGGAAAAAGAUUCAAGAAGCAAUUAAGCUCAGAUACCAUCAUCAGUUUACCUACUCCUAAUAUCGUGUAACACACAGGUGGCUUUUGAAUGUCCCUUGUUCCCAGGUCCCUAAGGGACUGCUUACUAACCUCAAAAUGCUCCUUAACAGAGAUACCCCCAACAGGGGGCCGAACUUUGCUGAAGAGGCGGAGAGCUAGCUGUCGCCCAGACUGGCAGGAGCUCUGGGGCCGCAGUACUACCUGUAGGAUAGAGAGUAAAGAAGAGCCCAACCCAAUGUCCUUCCUGCCAUAAAGCAACCCACAAAUCCUCUGCAGAAUGAGAGGAGAAGCAAUGGUACUGCUAAGCUGGGCAAGCUUUCACCCUCUCAGAUCACCACAUUGUUUUCCAUAGUGGAUUUAUACUGAAGGGCCGUUAUAAAUGCCCCGUGCUAAAAACAUGCAAAUGGACUAGGAAAGGGGAAAAAAGACUUGCCUUAUAGACAGCAUUGGGGAGGAGGUUGUUCAUGGUAAACCAGCCCAACUCCAGAAGAUGUUCUGCUGUGUCAUCAGACUUAUUCACCUAUAAAGACAGAUUUUGCCCCAUCUACUAUAAUAAACCUUUCUCAGAAGUCUACUAG
rnacentral:lncRNA from 1 species